CAAGAGAUCGGUUUUCCAUUACGUAGACAUGUGGUUGCCACAUCAUCACCUACGAACGAGACGCUCCCCCAGUUUUGGUAAAAGUGACUCGAGAUAUCGUCACUUCACCGGUCGGCUCGCUCUCUCCCGUCUUUUCCAGUCACUUCCAAACCGUGAUUGGAGUUCUCCAUUGGGGGGAGAACAUAGGCUGAGGCUCACGCAGCAGAUGCAUUUAAGUGCAGCGCUGCAGCGCUGAGCAGCAUUUUGUUGGCUAUAACCGCUAUCCGUGGACCUGACCUGCUCCACCCGCAUAGCACCAGCUCGACAUCCGGUGCUGAAAGGACAGCGCCAGGACCAGCAUCAUAUCAGUGGUGACGCAUUCUCCCAUUUUCCCUGCAUGUUCUGCCAUAUAUAAUUAGUUUAGAUUCUAACUUUCGACAAGAGAGCCAUAUUGCCCAGCCUUGAACCACCAAGAAUGGUUAAAUAAUAACAAUAUUAUAUGUUAUUUGUAAAGUGGAUUUCAAGACACCCCAGAGCUGUGUUGACUGAGCGGGUGAUAACUCUAUUCAUGCAAGGCACUACCGCUUUAUUUGAACAACGUUGUUUAGUUACUUCUCAGUGUUCAAGGCCAACGCUUAGCGCUAUUACUCAACACAUAAACAGCUCAGAACAUUGCAGCAGGUGAGAAGAGGUAAAAUAUUGCAUAGGAGGUCGGCUGUGGUGUGUAUAGAACCACCACAGUCAAAACUUGUCAAUUUUCUUAAAAUGUGUUUCUAAAUAUACAGUGCCUUGCGAAAGUAUUCGGCCCCCUUGAACUUUGCGACCUUUUGCCACAUUUCAGGCUUCAAACAUAAAGAUAUAAAACUGUAUUUUUUUGUGAAGAAUCAACAACAAGUGGGACACAAUCAUGAAGUGGAACGACAUUUAUUGGAUAUUUCAAACUUUUUUAACAAAUCAAAAACUGAGAAAUUGGGCGUGCAAAAUUAUUCAGCCCCCUUAAGUUAAUACUUUGUAGCGCCACCUUUUGCUGCGAUUACAGCUGUAAGUCACUUGGGGUAUGUCUCUAUCAGUUUUGCACAUCGAGAGACUGAAUUUUUUCCCCAUUCCUCCUUGCAAAACAGCUCGAGCUCAGUGAGGUUGGAUGGAGAGCAUUUGUGAACAGCAGUUUUCAGUUCUUUCCACAGAUUCUCGAUUGGAUUCAGGUCUGGACUUUGACUUGGCCAUUCUAACACCUGGAUAUGUUUAUUUUUGAACCAUUCCAUUGUAGAUUUUGCUUUAUGUUUUGGAUCAUUGUCUUGUUGGAAGACAAAUCUCCGUCCCAGUCUCAGGUCUUUUGCAGACUCCAUCAGGUUUUCUUCCAGAAUGGUCCUGUAUUUGGCUCCAUCCAUCUUCCCAUCAAUUUUAACCAUCUCCCCUGUCCCUGCUGAAGAAAAGCAGGCCCAAACCAUGAUGCUGCCACCACCAUGUUUGACAGUGGGGAGGGUGUGUUCAGUGUGAUGAGCUGUGUUGCUUUUACGCCAAACAUAACAUUUUGCAUUGUUGCCAAAAAGUUCAAUUUUGGUUUCAUCUGACCAGAGCACCUUCUUCCACAUGUUUGGUGUGUCUCCCAGGUGGCUUGUGGCAAACUUUAAACAACACUUUUUAUGGAUAUCUUUAAGAAAUGGCUUUCUUCUUGCCACUCUUCCAUAAAGGCCAAAUUUGUGCAAUAUACGACUGAUUGUUGUCCUAUGGACAGAGUCUCCCACCUUAGCUGUAGAUCUCUGCAGUUCAUCCAGAGUGAUCAUGGGCCUCUUGGCUGCAUCUCUGAUCAGUCUUCUCCUUGUAUGAGCUGAAAGUUUAGAGGGACGGCCAGGUCUUGGUAGAUUUGCAGUGGUCUGAUACUCCUUCCAUUUCAAUAUUAUCGCUUGCACAGUGCUCCUUGGGAUGUUUAAAGCUUGGGAAAUCUUUUUGUAUCCAAAUCCGGCUUUAAACUUCUUCACAACAGUAUCUCGGACCUGCCUGGUGUGUUCCUUGUUCUUCAUGAUGCUCUCUGCGCUUUUAACGGACCUCUGAGACUAUCACAGUGCAGGUGCAUUUAUAUGGAGACUUGAUUACACACAGGUGGAUUGUAUUUAUCAUCAUUAGUCAUUUAGGUCAACAUUGGAUCAUUCAGAGAUCCUCACUGAACUUCUGGAGAGAGUUUGCUGCACUGAAAGUAAAGGGGCUGAAUAAUUUUGCACGCCCAAUUUUUCAGUUUUUGUUUUGUUAAAAAAGUUUGAAAUAUCCAAUAAAUGUCGUUCCACUUCAUGAUUGUGUCCCACUUGUUGUUGAUUCUUCUCAAAAAAAUACAGUUUUAUAUCUUUAUGUUUGAAGCCUGAAAUGUGGCAAAAGGUUGCAAAGUUCAAGGGGGCCGAAUACUUUCGCAAGGCACUGUAAGGUUAUAAUAUACAGUGCCUUGGGAAAGUAUUCACCCCCUUUGACUUUUUCCACAUUUUGUUAUGUUACAGCCUUAUUCUAUAAUGGAAUAAUACAUUAAGAAAUCUACACACAAUACCUCCAUUGAUCAUCCUUGAGGUGUUUCUACAACUUGAUUGUAGUCCAAAGGUAAAUUAAAUUGAUUGGACAUGAUUUGGAAAGGCACACACCUGUCUACAUAAGGUCCCACAGUUGACAGUGCAUGUCAGAGCAAAAGCCAAGCCAUGAGGUCAAAGGAAUAGUCUGUAGAGCUCCGAGACAGGAUUGUGUCGAGGCACAGAUCUGGGGAAGGGUACCAAAACAUUUCUGCAGUAUUGAAGGUCUUCAAGAACACAGUGGCCUCUAAAAUGGAAGAAGUUUGGAACCACCAAGGCCAAACUGAGCAAUCGGGGGAGAAGGGCCUUGGUCAAGGCACAUGACAGCCCGCUUGGAGUUUGCCAAAAGGCACCGAAAAAAGGCACGCUCAGACCAUGAGAAACAAGAUUCUCUGCUCUGAUAAAACCAAUAUUACAUUUUUGGACUGAAUAUCAAGCGACACGUGCGGAGGAAACCUGGCACUAUCCCUGCGGUGAAGCAUGGUGGUGGAAGCUGUGGGGGUAUUUUUCAGCAACAGGGACUGGGAGAC
rnacentral:lncRNA from 13 species